rnacentral:rRNA from 1 species
GACGCUGGCGGUAGGCUAACACAUGCAGUCGAACGGCAGGCACAGGAGAGCUUGCUCUCUGGGUGGCGAGUGGCGGACGGGUGAGGAAUACAUCGGAAUCUACUUUUUCGUGGGGGAUAACGUAGGGAAACUUACGCUAAUACCGCAUACGACCUACGGGUGAAAGCAGGGGAUCUUCGGACCUUGCGCGAUUGAAUGAGCCGAUGUCGGAUUAGCUAGUUGGCGGGGUAAAGGCCCACCAAGGGCGACGAUCCGUAGCUGGUCUGAGAGGAUGAUCAGCCACACUGGAACUGAGACACGGUCCAGACUCCUACGGGAGGCAGCAGUGGGGAAUAUUGGACAAUGGGCGCAAGCCUGAUCCAGCCAUACCGCGUGGGUGAAGAAGGCCUUCGGGUUGUAAAGCCCUUUUGUUGGGAAAGAAAUCCAGCUGGUUAAUACCCGGUUGGGAUGACGGUACCCAAAGAAUAAGCACCGGCUAACUUCGUGCCAGCAGCCGCGGUAAUACGAAGGGUGCAAGCGUUACUCGGAAUUACUGGGCGUAAAGCGUGCGUAGGUGGUCGUUUAAGUCCGUUGUGAAAGCCCUGGGCUCAACCUGGGAACUGCAGUGGAUACUGGACGACUAGAGGUGUGGUAGAGCGGGUAGGCGGACAUUCCUGGGUGUAGCAGUGAAAAUGGCGUACAGAGAUCAAGGACGGGAAACAUCCAUGGGGCGAAGGCAGCUACCUGGACCCAAACACUGAACAACCUGAAGGGCACGAAAAAGCGUGGGGAAGCAAAACCAGGGAUUAGAUACCCUCUGGGGUUAGUUCCAACGCCCUAAACGAUUGCGAACUGGCUUUUGGGUUGGCCAUUGGCACACGCAGUUAUCGAAC